UAAUUAGAGUCUGAAGUUUCGGUGUCCCAGAUUGAUACGAAUGCACGUCAUCUAGUGCUGCUCAGUUCUGAUAGCUCCUGUUCCUGAAUUGAUAAAACGUGUUCAAUUUUGUUUCAUCGAUUUUGUUGGCGUGUAUUUUUUGGUUCAGAUCUCAUAGAAUCGGUAUAUAACAUGAUCUCUGUUCUGUGGAUUACGUGUCAAUGAGUUGCACGCCAUGAUCAUGCAGUCUGAAGGUUUGGUUACAUGGAGAAAAGUUCAUUGUUGCAAUUUUAUGUGAUCACAGGGGCGAAUCCUCCGGGGUGAGGGGUGAUGGGCGGUGGGUAUCCUUACGGUUAGUGAUCUCUCCGAAACUCGUAGCCCUUUAGACUAACGAAGGAAUUUAUGCAGGAAGAAAGCGCUAUCCAAUUCACUCAGUUGGUGAAUUAACAUUGGCGUCACAUCCAUCAUCUCCUCCUGCUUCGAUGUAUCGUUCGUUCUAGACGCAUGUUUUGGCUUGUGGCCGACUUCAUCGUUGGCUCUCGUAGCCAAUUAGUUGCCUGUACGAGAAGUUCAUCGAAACCGUAAAGCUUGAGUGAAGGCAAAAGUUCACUAGCAUUCUGAAAUGCACUUGAUCGUGAGUAGUGAAAACCCUAAGGGGCAAAAUAAUUUCCUUGUGUUUGGGGUAAAAUAUGGACUUGCUAAAUUGAUUUAGUUCGGUCUGAUGGCACUCGUUGGCGAUGUAUAUCAUUGCUACAGGUGGAUACUCUGAAGAUGAGACGAGGUGCUUCGAGGAGAUUCGAGUGUCACAGCCUUUCAUCGUCGGCAUUCAUCCAGGUCUGCAAUUACUUCAGCAGAAGGUACCCAAGAGGAUGCAGUUUGUAAUGAAUGGAAAAAAAUCUCUGUGAACGUGUAAGUUGCUGUGACCGUAUCUUAACCUCCUCUGCUCCAAAGGACUAGUUAAUUAAAUCUCACCCGAGUUCUACAACUGAUCUCCGUGAAGUAAUACAAGUCCAAAGUAUCGAAUUUCCCAGGGUACGACACUUCCGAUGUGCUCGGAUGUUCAGCCAUUCCGCCGUUCUUUACUCUCGCCAAUCAUCCAGAGUGGUUUCGGAAUAAGUUGCAGUACCGCACAUCGCCGAACACGGUAGAUCUACAGGUGACCAUGUUCAACUAGUCCCCAUUUAACCCAAUUCGCAUUAACCAGAUCUAGAUCCGGAUCCUUUCACACAAAAAGCUGCUCAUGCCGGAGGUCUCCACGGCUGACUCCACAGAAGCUGAAAAUGAUGUGGGUCUUAUCACCUUAUCCUCGAUUCCCUUCCAACACUCAAAGCAGAAAUGAUACCCUUUGGUACACGUUCUGUACGUGAAGACGCGAACAACUUCCAGGCAGCGCCAACAGUGGGGGCCACAGGUGAAGUGAAAGCAUAGUAAAGCUGUGGAGGCCAUGCAGAACUUGGAACGGAGGAGGAGGAGACUGGUGCCAUGAGCCAGGUAUGAUAGCAUCGACAGCUCUGUCUCUGCUAUUACAUGACUGGACUGAUGAACUCCUUCGCUCUGCAACAGCAGCAGCAGCAGCAGCAGCAAUUCCUCUUCUUUGUCUUCAUCCUCUUCUUCGACUUUUUGGCUGCCGAAAUCAGGCAGUUCCUAUGUAGCUGGUACUAGCUUUGAGGUUUUCCUGAGAACCUGCACAUGAAGCCAGCUUGUGGGGGUAGUGAGACUAAAACUGUGGCAUGAAAGUUGUCUUCUUCCUAUCAACUUUCUUUAAUGUUGUUUUUGUGAGAUGUCUCUCCUUGUGCUUCCAA